GUGUCAGCAGCCGCGGUAAUACGGAGGGUGCGAGCGUUAAUCGGAAUUACUGGGCGUAAAGCGCACGCAGGCGGUCUGUUAAGUUAGAUGUGAAAGCCCCGGGCUUAACCUGGGAGUUGCAUUUAAAACUGGCAGACUAGAGUCUUGGAGAGGGGAGUGGAAUUCCAGGUGUAGCGGUGAAAUGCGUAGAGAUCUGGAGGAACAUCAGUGGCGAAGGCGGCUCCCUGGCCAAAGACUGACGCUCAUGUGCGAAAGCGUGGGUAGCGAACAGGAUUAGAUACCCUGGUAGUCCACGCCGUAAACGCUGUCUACUAGCUGUCUGUGGAUUUAAUUCGUGGGUAGCGCAGCAAACGCGAUAAGUAGACCGCCUGGGGAGUACGGCCGCAAGGUUAAAACUCAAAUGAAUUGACGGGG
rnacentral:rRNA from 1 species